GAACUGAAGAGUUUGAUCCUGGCUCAGAUUGAACGCUGGCGGCAUGCCUUACACAUGCAAGUCGAACGGCAGCACGGGUGCUUGCACCUGGUGGCGAGUGGCGAACGGGUGAGUAAUACAUCGGAACAUGUCCUGUAGUGGGGGAUAGCCCGGCGAAAGCCGGAUUAAUACCGCAUACGAUCCACGG
rnacentral:rRNA from 1 species